UACGGAGGGUGCAAGCGUUAUCCGGAUUCGCUGGGGUUAAAGGGUGCGUAGGCGGGUUGGUAAGUCCGUGGUGAAAUCCCCAAGCUUAACUUGGGAACUGCCGUGGAUACUAUCAAUCUUGAAUAUCGUGGAGGUAAGCGGAAUAUGUCAUGUAGCGGUGAAAUGCUUAGAUAUGACAUAGAACACCAAUUGCGUAGGCAGCUUACUACACGAUCAUUGACGCUGAGGCACGAAAGCGUGGGGAGCAAACAGG
rnacentral:rRNA from 1 species